rnacentral:rRNA from 1 species
UACAGAGGGGGCAAGCGUUGUUCGGAAUUACUGGGCGUAAAGGGCGCGUAGGCGGCUUUCUAAGUCGGGGGUGAAAUCCUGGAGCUCAACUCCAGAACUGCCUUUGAUACUGAGGGGCUCGAGUCCGGGAGAGGUGAGUGGAACUGCGAGUGUAGAGGUGAAAUUCGUAGAUAUUCGCAAGAACACCAGUGGCGAAGGCGGCUCACUGGCCCGGUACUGACGCUGAGGUGCGAAAGCGUGGGGAGCAAACAGG